AAAAUUACAAUUAAGCUUAAGUAAAUUAAUUAAGAAGACUAAUUUAAUUUGGAUAAUAUCACGAUUUGUUUAAAGUAAUAAUAACAAGCUCUCAUACCACGUCAGGACGAAAAACGAACAUGUUUUCCAAGAAACCGAAGCGGUAUUAAUUAAUAUAAAGACGGUGCAGGCGGUGAUUACACACUAAAGCGGCCAGAUUAAAACAGCAAGGAGGCUGAAUAUCGAUAACUGCUCAUAAUUUAAACCAGCAAAUACGGAGUAACCGGGCGCACGGCAAAUACUUUGUAACUUUUUUUAGGAGAAUUUCCUCAUUACGGCUCCGGAAAAAUAAUAUAGUGUGGAAAUACAGCGGCAGGGAAGCGAUGUAUUAAAAGAAUCAUACAAAACAGAGCUGAAGCUCAAUUAAGCUACAUCCUCGUGUCCCAGAUCGGCAGAUGAAAUACAAGGUUGGUUUGUUCUGAGGGUCCCAGACAGACCCAGGAAACCGACGGCACACCAGCAUGUCCUGCGGUCAAGAGAACAGAGGACACCUCGUCAAAACGAGCAUGGAUCACCAGCCCUGAUCUUGGAUCACAGACUGGCUCCAGAUGUGCUGCUAUUGAUGGAAUUGAGCCCUUAAUUGAUCAAGUAACAGUAUGAACCUCAACUCUUUGUCUUCCAUUCCAAAUGGAUCUCUAGCUUUUCAAUCGGAAAAAUAAACUUGCAAAGAUUUCA